rnacentral:rRNA from 1 species
AUUGAACGCUGGCGGCAUGAUUUACACAUGCAAGUCGAACGGUAACAGGCCGCAAGGUGCUGACGAGUGGCGGACGGGUGCGUAAUGCAUCGGAACGUGCCCAGUCGUGGGGGGUAACUACUCGAAAGAGUAGCUAAUACCGCAUACGAUCUAUGGAUGAAAGCGGGGGGCCGUAAGGCCUCCCGCGAUUGGAGCGGCCGAUGUCGGAUUAGGUAGUUGGUGGGGUAAAGGCUCACCAAGCCAACGAUCUGUAGCUGGUCUGAGAGGACGACCAGCCACACUGGGACUGAGACACGGCCCAGACUCCUACGGGAGGCAGCAGUGGGGAAUUUUGGACAAUGGGCGCAAGCCUGAUCCAGCAAUGCCGCGUGCAGGAAGAAGGCCUUCGGGUUGUAAACUGCUUUUGUACGGAACGAAACGGCUCUGGUUAAUACCCGGGGCUAAUGACGGUACCGUAAGAAUAAGCACCGGCUAACUACGUG